GCCCCUAGCGCAGACGGCGGAGAGCAGAGAGGGAGCGCGCCUUGGCUCGCUGGCCUUGGCGGCGGCUCCUCAGGAGAGCUGGGGCGCCCACGAGAGGAUCCCUCACCCGGGUCUCUCCUCAGGGAUGACAUCAUCCGUCCACCUCCUUGUCUUCAAGGACCACCUCCUCUCCAUGCUGAGCUGCUGCCAAGGGGCCUGCUGCCCAUCUACACCUCACGAGGGCACUAGGAGCACGGUUUCCUGGAUCCCACCAACAUACAAAGCAGCCACUCACUGACCCCCAGGACCAGGAUGGCAAAGGAUGAAGAGGACCGGAACUGACCAGCCAGCUGUCCCUCUUACCUAAAGACUUAAACCAAUGCCCUAGUGAGGGGGCAUUGGGCAUUAAGCCCUGACCUUUGCUAUGCUCAUACUUUGACUCUAUGAGUACUUUCCUAUAAGUCUUUGCUUGUGUUCACCUGCUAGCAAACUGGAGUGUUUCCCUCCCCAAGGGGGUGUCAGUCUUUGUCGACUGACUCUGUCAUCACCCUUAUGAUGUCCUGAAUGGAAGGAUCCCUUUGGGAAAUUCUCAGGAGGGGGACCUGGGCCAAGGGCUUGGCCAGCAUCCUGCUGGCAACUCCAAGGCCCUGGGUGGGCUUCUGGAAUGAGCAUGCUACUGAAUCACCAAAGGCACGCCCGACCUCUCUGAAGAUCUUCCUAUCCUUUUCUGGGGGAAUGGGGUCGAUGAGAGCAACCUCCUAGGGUUGUUGUGAGAAUUAAAUGAGAUAAAAGAGGCCUCAGGCAGGAUCUGGCAUAGAGGAGGUGAUCAGCAAAUGUUUGUUGAAAAGGUUUGACAGGUCAGUCCCUUCCCACCCCUCUUGCUUGUCUUACUUGUCUUAUUUAUUCUCCAACAGCACUCCAGGCAGCCCUUGUCCACGGGCUCUCCUUGCAUCAGCCAAGCUUCUUGAAAGGCCUGUCUACACUUGCUGUCUUCCUUCCUCACCUCCAAUUUCCUCUUCAACCCACUGCUUCCUGACUCGCUCUACUCCGUGGAAGCACGCUCACAAAGUUCCUGACCUGGCCAUCCCGGGGUGCCCUUGACCAGCCCCGUGUCUCCUCAGGGUGUCCCAGCACCAGCCUGGCACAGAGUGGGGCUCAGUUAGAGUAUGUGGGAUGUUGGUUUCGCCAGGUGAGUGAAUGAAAGGACUCGACCACCACAGCUGAGCCACUAGCUGGGCCAUGCGAAGAGUUCUAGGUGCAAAGGCUGGAGGGUGGAAUUCAUUUUUGAGAGGUGUGUGAGCAGCUUCCGACCCCUGCCCCAUUUGAACGGGGGCCUUGCUGGUCGCGUCCCUGCAUUCACCCGCGCGGCCAUCCCGUCAUCCAACAGUUGAUCCUAACUGAGCACGCCCACGGCCCUGGUCUGGCCUGGGCACCGGCCACCGUAGCCCAUCCCUUGAUGGCCUCUGUGUCCCCAGGAGGGCGGGCCGGGGGGUUGCCCAGGGGCUGGAGCAGUGGACUGUGGCUCCAUAGAGGUAGGCCGGAGGGUGUGAGGGCAGAUUCAAGCUAUCCCCAGGGCUCUGCUCUGGUCGGAGCCAGCCCCUUCUCCCUCUCUGCCUUCCCCGCCCCAUUCCUGAUGCUGAACUGUUCUGGACCCCUGGCCCUGAGUCUCUCAGGACCAAAGUGGGCACGGGAACAGCUGUAGUGUGUGCCCCCCCGGGCUUUGGCCACAGGUCUCCCUCUCGAGGUGUGGUUGUGACUGCGACCCUUCCCUUGCCGUGAUGCCUUCCUCCCCCGGGGCUUGGUCCAGCUCCUUCACUCUCUAGCAGCUGCUGGGGCCCACCUCCCAUGCCGAGGACCAGCAGGGGAAACCUCCAGGGAGCAUCUGCAGGCUCUGCUUCUGCCCGGCUGCUGGCUUGCUCUCCCUGGUGGCUCUCCAGCGGCCAGCUUCCUCACCCACCCGGCACUCCGCUUUGCUCUGUCUCCUGAGGUGGGCCUGACCAACCUCCCCUUCUCUGCCUCAGUCCCUGGGCUCCAGGGCUCAGCUCCACAGCCCUCUGCCUAGCAGGCUGGUUCUCCCUGCCAAGCCCAUACCUGUGGUCACCUGGCCCUCCUGUGGUCUGAGUACCACUCCCCUGCCCCAGGAGCCACUCCCACUCCAGCUGCCUGUUUCCAGCAGGUUCCCAGUGCCCCCGACAAGCCCCUGCUGGUGUCUCCAUCUCCUGCCAAGCAUCCUCCAGUGCCUCCUCCUGUGGGCCUGGCCUCAGGGCUAUGGACAGACUCCUGUCCCAUCCCAGAGACCCCUCGUGAUCGUGCCCUGGCACGUGGGCCGUGGCCCGGCUGGGUCGGCUGAAGAACUGCGGAUGGAAGCUGCGGAAGAGGCCCUGAUGGGGCCCACCAUCCCGGACCCAAGUCUUCUUCCUGGCGGGCCUCUCGUCUCCUUCCUGGUUUGGGCGGAAGCCAUCACCUGGAUGCCUACGUGGGAAGGGACCUCGAAUGUGGGACCCCAGCCCCUCUCCAGCUCGAAAUCCCUCCACAGCCACGGGGACACCCUGCACCUAUUCCCACGGGACAGGCUGGACCCAGAGACUCUGGACCCGGGGCCUCCCCUUGAGUAGAGACCCGCCCUCUGACUGAUGGACGCCGCUGACCUGGGGUCAGACCCGUGGGCUGGACCCCUGCCCACCCCGCAGGAACCCUGAGGCCUAGGGGAGCUGUUGAGCCUUCAGUGUCUGCAUGUGGGAAGUGGGCUCCUUCACCUACCUCACAGGGCUGUUGUGAGGGGCGCUGUGAUGCGGUUCCAAAGCACAGGGCUUGGCGCACCCCACUGUGCUCUCAAUAAAUGUGUUUCCUGUCUUAACAAAA
rnacentral:lncRNA from 1 species